UGGGGAAUUUUGGACAAUGGGGGAAACCCUGAUCCAGCCAUCCCGCGUGUGCGAUGAAGGCCUUCGGGUUGUAAAGCACUUUUGGCAGGAAAGAAACGUCGCGGGUUAAUACCCCGCGAAACUGACGGUACCUGCAGAAUAAGCACCGGCUAACUACGUGCCAGCAGCCGCGGUAAUACGUAGGGUGCAAGCGUUAAUCGGAAUUACUGGGCGUAAAGCGUGCGCAGGCGGUUCGGAAAGAAAGAUGUGAAAUCCCAGAGCUUAACUUUGGAACUGCAUUUUUAACUACCGGGCUAGAGUGUGUCAGAGGGAGGUGGAAUUCCGCGUGUAGCAGUGAAAUGGCGUAGAUAUGCGGAGGAACACCGAUGGCGAAGGCAGCCUCCUGGGAUAACACUGACGCUCAUGCACGAAAGCGUGGGGAGCAAACAGGAUUAGAUACCCUGGUAGUCCACGCCCUAAAGCGAUGUCAACUAGCUGUUGGGGCCUUCGGGCCUUGGUAGCGCAGCUAACGC
rnacentral:rRNA from 1 species